rnacentral:rRNA from 1 species
GACGAACGCUGGCGGCGUGCUUAACACAUGCAAGUCGAACGGAAAGGCCCUGCUUUUGUGGGGUGCUCGAGUGGCGAAGGGGUGAGUAACACGUGAGUAACCUGCCCUUGACGUUGGGAUAACUUCAGGAAACUGGGGCUCAUACGGGAUAGGAGCUCCUGCUGCAUGGUGGGGGUGGGAAAGUUUCGGCGGUUGGGGAGGGACUCGCGGCUUAUCAGCUUGGUGGUGUGGUAGUGGAUUACCAAGGCUUUGACGGGUAGCAGGCCUGGGAGGGUGACCGGCCCCAUCGGGCCGGGGCUACGGCCCAGACUCCUCCGGGAGGCAGCAGUGGGGUAUGUUGCACAAUGGGCGGAAGCCUGAUGCAGCCACGCCGCGUCCGGGAUGACGGCCUUCGGGUUGUAAAGCGCUUUCGCCUGUGCCGAAGCGUGAGUGACGGUAACGGGUAAAGAAGCACCGGCUAACUACGUG